CUACAGUUUUAAAAACAUACUGAAACUACCCCAGCCUCUUUGCCUACAGCUUCCUGCCAGGGCAGCCAAGUUCCCAUAGAGUGUUCAGGUGUGAAUCUAAGGACAACAGGACAAAGGAGAUUAAACCCUCCUUUCUCAGUCUUGUAUCUAUUGAUCAUUGCAGACAAUUAAAUAAUUGCUGGUAAACUAGAGUGUCCUUUGAGAAUGUUAUUAGACUUUGUUUCUGUGUCAUUGGUUUUUGUUCUUUUUAAAGUAGAUAAUUUUAAAUUUUAGCAUGUUUUCCAUUUUGGAAUUGCCAAUGUAGGGUAUUUGGUAGACAGUCUUCCUAAUACUUCUGACACAAAAAUUAUAACCUCGGCAUCUAGGCACAUACAGUUAUCUGGCAUUAUAUUACUUUAAAGAGUCAUAGCAUCUGGUGAUAUCAGCUCUUCCAGCUGAGCCAGCCAAGGAAGUAAAGUCCUGUGAAUACAGAACAGGUAUAUUGAAUUUCUUUUUAUUAUUUUUUAUCUUUAUUUUUUGGAAAGACUGAGUGAACAUGACAGUAGUUUGAGUUGUUGGGCUAUUAAUGUGUGCCUUGAUACAAACUUUUGAUGUCGUAGGUAAUCUGAGUGACUCAUUCUCCUGACUAAAAUGGGCUAAUAACACAUCCUAAUGUUACUUGGUGUGGGACAAAGAAAUAUAGUGAGUACCAUGACCAAUUAGAAUGUGAGGAUACCAGGACAGUGCAGAAACUUAGAAUAACUUUCCUGGGAACUAAGCUGUUUCAUUGGGAGGCCAAAGAUGGGUGAUAAAAAUGAAUUCUUCACGAUUAACUUUGUAAACCAUCCUUUUCCUAGUAAGUAUUACUAAUGAAUAUGUGUCAACACCCCCCUGAACUAUUCACUGUGGUAACUAUUAAUGUAUUCAUGAAUAUUUCUGGUAGAUAGCAGUAUUCAUGAAGGAGCCUUUGUAUUACAUAAUAAAAUAUUAUUGCAUAAUAAAAAUAUUGUAUUGCAUAAUAAAAAUAUUUCUGUUACUAUUUUCAGUUCUUCUAUUUUAGUAAUUCAAGUAAGUUUGUUUUGUUCAGGGAAGUUAUGUGUAGAAGAGGGAAAGCAGAUCAGUUUGUAUAGCUCUUUCUUUCUACGGUUUAUUAAGGCAUAAAACUCCUACCUCAGCAGUACUGAAACACCAAAUUCUUUUUGCUUUUGUUUUCUUACCGCUUCUCAGUGGGGAAAUACAGGCACUGAGGCCAGUAUGAGGGCUUAGUAGUGAGGGGACUAAUCUCACUGGCAGGUUUAUAUGUUAUGCUAAAAUAUCACGCACUGGGAAGCAUCAAGCUUUUGGGGUAGAUCUCUUUUCCUGUCCUAUCCACUUUUUCUUCUACUUCAGAUCUCUGUUAAAAGAACAAAUCAUUUGUGUAUACAGAGAUAAAUCUAGACCAAACUUUUUGAAAUACGUGUCAUGGAGUCAAUUGCGUGAUGUUUAGCCUUUGCUAGUAAGUCAUCGUUUUAGAUAAAUUAGCAGAUGAUGUCCUACUCAGUUUUCCAUAGUUUCAGACUGUCAGUGUUCUUACACAAAUUGAAUACGUGCAUACUCUGGGUAUUUGUGAUGUGUUCUAACAGCUGUUGAAAGACAAGUUUUAGCCUUAAUCUUUUUUUGUUUGGCAUUUUCACAGUAAAAACAAGUUAGAACUAUUCUUCAUUUCAAUCUUAUCCUUAGGACUUUAUCUUGUUUGGAAGGUUAGUACAAAAUUCUGACAUUCAUGAGCACAAGAGCAGCAUAGUCUAUCUUCUGAUACGCAAUUAGAAUUAUUACUUCAAAUAAUUUUGGGGUCCUGGAAAUUCAGAAGCAUACUUUCCUUGAGCAUGCAAUAUUCAACUUCCUCAAAAUAGUUAAAUUUCUGGCCAUUAUAUUGAUUCAUUUGAUUUGCUGUGGUUCAAUUCCUACCCAAAAUUCAGUUUCUCUCAGACACCCUUGAAACUUGAAUGAGCUGGUAUCUCUGAUUUUAAUCCUUUAUUUCAAGGGGAGUUGUUCUUAUGGACAAUAUUUCUCUAUCUUCAAAGAUGUAGGUGACAUCAGUUGCAGUAUGUUAGAGAGGAACUUGGCAAAUCUCUUCAAUAUUACGUGUCCUCAGAGUAGUUCAGCGUUCUGCAGCUGUAGAUCUUCAGGAAUUGAGACAUUUCUGCCCCAGACCUGGAAAGAUACUGCGUUUAUAGUAAGUACCUAAAGAAUGAAUGUGAAGGAUUUAGUUUACUGUAGUUCACAGCAACACGGUUAUCAAACAGCUAUCUUUAAAGUGGCAAGGCUCUUAAAAACUCUCAGAUCUUUUUGUAAGAUCUCCUGAACCCAGCUAGAAUAGCUAGGAAGAAUUUGAAUAAUAAAAAUUCCUCCUUUGCGAUACCUACAUAUGUAAGUGCUGCAUGCAAAAUUUAAGAUUUAUAUAUAUAAAUCUGAGGGCUUUACAAAAUCGUAUUAAGUAUUCUUGCCAUUUCAUGCAGAGAGAAAUUGCACUGUCAGAAGUUGCAAUUACUUUUGAAAGACGAACCAUCUAAAUGGGCAGAGUUAGAAGCCAUUGCUGUUGUAAUGCAAGUGUAAUGUAUCAGUUCAGACUGUUCUCACUGCUUUUGGAAUGCCUUGUGCCUCUUGAUACUCUGUGUGUGUACGUAUAUUUGCUUUGCAUUUCUUCUUGAAGUCCUCAUAAGUAAACAGUAUUUGUCCAGGCUUCCUUGUGCUCUUUCACUCUGUCUGACAGUGACGCACUAUGGGCCUGCCCACUCACCCUCCAGGAUUUAAUUUAACUUUUCAUGGGCUCUUGGUUUUUGCUCACCUUCCCUGUUGGAAGCAUGUGAGAGGUUUUCUUUCUCAAAGAGUUUUUAAUGCUCUGAUUGUGUGACCUACUCCUGGAAAUUGCUUGCUCCUUAUUAGCAGAUGUCCGAAGCCACUGCCAUUGGCAUCCUAGGCUUGUAAUGAAAGCAGAUUGCUGCCAUGCAAAGGGAACAGAGAGAGAAAUGGAAAAUUCCUCUCGGUGCCUCCCCUGGAAAGGCAGCCUUCUCAUAAUGAAUCACCAAGAGAAGUCUUCAUGAUGAUGGAUGGGGACCAGUGGGGGUGGCAGGAGAGAAUUGAAGGCAACAGGGAGUUAUUCUCUAAUUACUCUUUUCUGACAAGGUACAAUAACAGACACACAGGGCUGUGUGUCAAACUACUGCCUCUUGCACUGUGCUCGUUACAGAAGCACCAGUAUCCCUCAUGGGCUGGGGCUGCUCUUGGGUUAUCACACCCUGAGUGUGGCGUUUACUGUCACCUCCCAUUGUGGCAAUGACAAGAUGGCUGGGUUUUUUGUUUUGUUUUUUGUUGUUGUUGUUGUUGUUGUUUUUUGUGAAGGAAAAAAAGAACACAUACAGUGAAAGAAGCCAAGCAGCCUUGCUGUGUGUGCUACAUGUAAAAGUUGCACAAUGAGCAGUCACAGUAGCUAAUAAUCUGAGUAUAUGGAUGUUAGGAACCUAAUGUACUGAACUUGAAGAUUUCCAUUGUUUCUGGUGGUUAUAUGAUAAAUUCCCCAAAAAAAAAAUUAAAAAGUUCUUCCAUUUCUUCUCACUUAAUUGAUGCUUCUUGCUAAUCUGUUUCAUCUGUUCUAUGUGAUACCCUUCCAUAUGAAUGAAUCCUGUUAAGCUUGCAGUAGAACAGACUUCAUGUGCUCAUCAAACUUGCUGAGAGUUCUGAGUACUUAUGGCUGAAUAAAUAUUGCAUUCUGGUGAUGACAGACUGAUCACCAUGGUGCUGCCUUACAGAAAUGAACUUUACUGUUUUGGCAAAUGGAAAUUUUCCUGUUGCUGAGUCCCCUUUGCCUUUGGGUCUAGGUGCAAACAUAAAUAUGUGCAUAAAUGUGCAUUAAUAGUGUGUUUUGCAUUCUUGUACAUUAUGUGCGUAUAUGAGAGUGCAUCCAAGGAGGAAAAAGAGAUAUCUAAAUGCAGAAGGAGAAUUGAUAGUCCAGGCAAACAGGCUUUUUGCCUGUUAUGAGAAGCCAGGGCCAUUGUACAUCUGUUCAGUUGCUGUGAUGUUCUUUUUGUCGUGUUGCAAAGCCUCACUUGUUGGAUGUGUAAUAUCCUCAUAUAUUGUUAUAGCAAUGAUUUAUUGCUGUUUUGUGCAAAACCAUGCUGGCUUUCUGUGAGCUGCUUGGUACGAGCGAGGUUAAGUAAAGUUUUCUUUGUGCAACAUCA